CAAUAGCGUAUAUUAAAGUUGUUGCGGUUAAAAAGCUCGUAGUUGGAUUUCUGUCGAAACGGCCGGUCCGCUCCUAUGGAGCGUGCAUCGUGGUUCGGUUUUGGGCAUCCUUAUGGAAGAACGUAACUGCGCUUGAUUGCGUGGUGCGGUAUUCAGUAACUUUUACUUUGAGGAAAUUAGAGUGUUCACGGCAGGCAGCGCCUUGAAUAUAUUAGCAUGGAAUAAUAAUAUAGGACCAUGGUUCUUAUUUGUUUGUUCUAGACUUAUGUAAUGAUUAAUAGGGAUAAUUGGGGGCAUUCGUAUUAACGCGUCAGAGGUGGAAUUCUUGGAUUGCGUUACGACGAACUACUGCGAAAGCAUUUGCCAAGGAUGUUUUCAUUGAUCAAGAACGAAAGUAUGGGG
rnacentral:rRNA from 1 species